rnacentral:rRNA from 1 species
GACGAACGCUGGUGGCGUGCUUAACACAUGCAAGUCGAACGGAAAGGCCCUGCUUUUGUGGGGUGCUCGAGUGGCGAACGGGUGAGUAACACGUGAGUAACCUGCCCUUGACUUUGGGAUAACUUCAGGAAACUGGGGCUAAUACCGGAUAGGAGCUCCUGCUGCAUGGUGGGGGUUGGAAAGUUUCGGCGGUUGGGGAUGGACUCGCGGCUUAUCAGCUUGUUGGUGGGGUAGUGGCUUACCAAGGCUUUGACGGGUAGCCGGCCUGGGAGGGUGACCGGCCACAUUGGGACUGAGAUACGGCCCAGACUCCUACGGGAGGCAGCAGUGGGGAAUAUUGCACAAUGGGCGGAAGCCUGAUGCAGCAACGCCGCGUGCGGGAUGACGGCCUUCGGGUUGUAAACCGCUUUCGCCUGUGACGAAGCGUGAGUGACGGUAAUGGGUAAAGAAGCACCGGCUAACUACGUG